rnacentral:rRNA from 1 species
CAGUCGCCGCGGUAAAACGGAGGGUGCAAGCGUUAAUCGGAAUUACUGGGCGUAAAGCGCACGCAGGCGGUCUGACAAGUCAGAUGUGAAAUCCCCGGGCUUAACCUGGGAACUGCAUUUGAAACUGUCAGGCUGGAGUCUUGUAGAGGGGGGUAGAAUUCCAGGUGUAGCGGUGAAAUGCGUAGAGAUCUGGAGGAAUACCGGUGGCGAAGGCGGCCCCCUGGACAAAGACUGACGCUCAGGUGCGAAAGCGUGGGGAGCAAACAGGAUUAGAUACCCCAGUAGUCCCUGUCUCUUAUAA